rnacentral:rRNA from 1 species
GCAACUGUCUCUCUUGUAAAAAUAAAAAUUAACUUUCAGGUGAAGAGGCCUGAAUUUAAUUAAAGGACAAAAAGACCCUAUUGAGCUUUACUCUAUAAAGCAAUUUUACUCUUUACUAGAUAACUUAAAAUCUUACUAAAGUUUAGUUGGGGCGACUAAGGAAAAUUUAACACUUCCUCUAAUAUAAAGACUUCACGUCAUCCUAAAGAGCCGUCAUACGAUUUUUGAAAAUAGCUACCUUAGGGAUAACAGGCUAAUCCCCUUUAAGAGUCCACAUUGACAAGGGGGUUUGGCACCUCGAUGUUGGCUUAAGGCACCCAUUAGAUGCAGACGUCUAAAACGGUAGGUUUGUUCAACCUUUAAAGCCCUUACGUGAUC